rnacentral:snoRNA from 1 species
NNGAACAAUUGCUGCAAACAGCAGGAUCACUGGUACUAUAUGCAGCUUGCUGCUUAUAUAGGGUUGUCCUAUGGACCUUGGAGAUGGGC